UACGUAGGGUCCGAGCGUUGUCCGGAAUUAUUGGGCGUAAAGGGCGCGCAGGCGGCUCAUUUUGUCAGGCGUGAAAGCCCCGGGCUUAACCUGGGACUGCGUUUGAAACUGCUGGGCUUGAGUCCGGGAGGGGGUAGCGGAAGUUCCCAGUGUAGAGGUGAAAUUCGUAGAUAUUGGGAAGAACACCGGUGGCGAAGGCGGCUAUCUGGCCCGUAAUUGACGCUGAGGCGGCGAAAGCGUGGGGAGCAAAGCAGGG
rnacentral:rRNA from 1 species